AAACUUUACAAUGCGGGCAACCGCGAUAAGGGGACCUCGAGUGCCGACAUCAAAUGUCGGCUGUCGUGAUGCCUAAAAAGCAUUACAUAGCAAGGGCCGGGCAAGACCGGUGCCAGCCGCCGCGGUAACACCGGCGGCUCGAGUGGUGACCGCUAUUAUUGGGUUUAAAGGGUCUGUAGCCGGCCGGAUAAGUCUCUUGGGAAAUCUGGCCGCUCAACGGUCAGGCUUUCAGGAGAUACUGUCUGGCUCGAGGCCGGGAGAGGUGAGAGGUACUUCAGGGGUAGGGGUGAAAUCUUGUAAUCCUUGAAGGACCACCAGUGGCGAAGGCGUCUCACCAGAACGGACCUGACGGCAAGGGACGAAAGCUAGGGGCACGAACCGG
rnacentral:rRNA from 1 species